rnacentral:rRNA from 1 species
GCACGUGUGUGGGAAACUUUCUCUAGGUUGACC